GGAAGGCGGGUGAGUCACCUCCCGACAGCAGCUGGAUUUUUCCGUUGCCCGUAAAGGGCAGCCGGAGCGGCGGCUGGGGCGAAGGCAGUCGCUUGCAGAGGUUCGCCGUGGGGUGGGAGAGAGCUCUUCCUCAGAGGCCACAGCAAAGCAUAAGACAACAGCUGAAGCUCAGUUCUGGCAGACUGUUUCUCUAAGAAUCCUCUGCUGUGGUGCAGUCAGAAGAUGCAUCUUUUCACUGACAUUAGGCUGCCAUACACCGCGGCACAUAUGGCAAUGCCAAAUACCAUCCCCGCGUGAUCCUGAUAGGUCCCCUCACAGUCAAGCAGCAUCCUGGACGCGCCUGAGAACAGCAAGCAGCAUGCUGCUCCACCCCCUGCUCUUCGUAUUUUUCACUUUCAGAGCAAAGGCUCUGUUCAGGCUCUAAAUAUUCUCUUCAGUCUUCUGCUUUCCCUGGAAUGAACAUCCCUCAAACCCUUUAGCAAAGGAACAGCUGGGUGAAAGCAAGAGCAAAACUGAGGGUAAGACAGAGUGAUGCACAGAUGCAUCAGUAUGUUCAGAGAAAGAGACACUGGAAAUCAGGGGCAGAGGGAGAACAAAGGACUCAAGAAGCAGUUGUCUAAAUGUUUUAUUAAUUUAUUGCAAUUCUGCCAUUCCCUAGAAAAAGAAGAAAAGGAGGAGAAAUAAUUUAAGCUAAGAAUGAGGAGGAAAUAAAACUUUUUUCUCAGCUUCACCCCCUUCUCUCUUUUAGGUUCUUGCUCUCAUACCUAAAAUUUUUCUCCAGGUGCAUCAGUUUUGGAAAAUUUGACCAUUAUCUUGAAUAUGCUUGACUGAUUAGUGUGUAUGUUUUUAAAGCCACCCAUGUAAGUUGCUGCAGUUCUUGCUGUAUUAAUAAUUAAGCUAUAAUAAUAAUUCUUGUGUUCUCUGACAAGGUUACUCAAAAUGAUGUGCGGAUGUGCCAUAUUCAUUUAAAACAUUUAAGAUGUAAAAUGUAGACAAAUGUAGUCAUCCACAAG